rnacentral:rRNA from 1 species
GACGAACGCUGGCGGCGUGCUUAACACAUGCAAGUCGAACGGUAAGGCCCUUCGGGGUACACGAGUGGCGAACGGGUGAGUAACACGUGGGUGAUCUGCCCUGCACUUCGGGAUAAGCCGGGGAAACUGGUUCUAAUACCGGAUGGGGCCCUGGGAUGCAUGUCCUGGGGUGGAAAGCUUUUGCGGUGUGGGAUGGGCCCGGGGCCUAUCAGCUUGUUGGUGGGGUGAUGGCCUACCAAGGCGACGAUGGGUAGCCGGCCUGGAGGGGUGACCGGACACACUGGGACUGAGAUACGGCCCAGACUCCUACGGGAGGCAGCAGUGGGGAAUAUUGCACGAUGGGCGCAAGCCUGAUGCAGCGACGCCGCGUGAGGGAUGACGGCCUUCGGGUUGUAAACCUCUUUCAGCACCGACGAAGCGCAAGUGACGGUAGGUGCAGAAGAAGGACCGGCCAACUACGUGCCAGCCGCCGCCGUAA